AACCUGUGGAACCCGCGCUUAAACCGAUACAGCCUCGAGGCCUUCCGAGCUGGAAGGACUCGGUCAAGAUAGCUCGUGCUACAGCUAGUGUGAGGUUAGCUCCCAAGGCGUCGACGGGUAGCGGCUGAGAGGGUGACUGCACACUUGGACUGAGACCGCAGACUCUACGGAGGCAGCAGUGGGAUAUGCACAUGGCGCAGCUGAUGCAGCACGCGCUGGAGGGACGACGCUCGGGUGUAACUCUUUAGCAGGGAAGAAGCGAAAGUGACGGUACUGCAGAAAAGCGCCGGCUAACUACGUGCCAGCAGCCGCGGUAAUACGUAGGGCGCAAGCGUUAUCCGGAAUUAUUGGGCGUAAAGAGCUCGUAGGCGGUUUGUCGCGUCUGCUGUGAAAACUGGAGGCUCAACCUCCAGCCUGCAGUGGGUACGGGCAGACUAGAGUGCGGUAGGGGAGAUUGGAAUUCCUGGUGUAGCGGUGGAAUGCGCAGAUAUCAGGAGGAACACCGAUGGCGAAGGCAGAUCUCUGGGCCGUAACUGACGCUGAGGAGCGAAAGGGUGGGGAGCAAACAGGCUUAGAUACCCUGGUAGUCCACCCCGUAAACGUUGGGAACUAGUUGUGGGGUCCAUUCCACGGAUUCCGUGACGCAGCUAACGCAUUAAGUUCCCCGCCUGGGGAGUACGGCCGCAAGGCUAAAACUCAAAGGAAUUGACGGGGACCCGCACAAGCGGCGGAGCAUGCGGAUUAAUUCGAUGCAACGCGAAGAACCUUACCAAGGCUUGACAUAUACGAGAACGGGCCAGAAAUGGUCAACUCUUUGGACACUCGUAAACAGGUGGUGCAUGGUUGUCGUCAGCUCGUGUCGUGAGAUGUUGGGUUAAGUCCCGCAACGAGCGCAACCCUCGUUCUAUGUUGCCAGCACGUAAUGGUGGGAACUCAUGGGAUACUGCCGGGGUCAACUCGGAGGAAGGUGGGGAUGACGUCAAAUCAUCAUGCCCCUUAUGUCUUGGGCUUCACGCAUGCUACAAUGGCCGGUACAAAGGGCUGCAAUACCGUAAGGUGGAGCGAAUCCCAAAAAGCCGGUCCCAGUUCGGAUUGAGGUCUGCAACUCGACCUCAUGAAGUCGGAGUCGCUAGUAAUCGCAGAUCAGCAACGCUGCGGUAACUCGCAC
rnacentral:rRNA from 1 species